rnacentral:lncRNA from 1 species
CUCUGACGGAAAGUUGAGAAGGGAUAAGACUUUUGGGCUUAGUAAAUAUUGGAAUGAAAUAACAUACAAAUAUCCUCGACGUCAUUUGGUAUCUAAUAGGGAUUUGUCUCAUUGCUUGACAAUCGUACAUGUCCAACAUUUUUUAUUUUUUUAACCUUAACUAAGUUACAUAGGAAUUACUUAAGUGAGCACUUUCGGCAUAAAGUUUCUUUAUUAGCUUUUAUAAAUAUUGUUAUACUUCUUAUGAUUUGAUUUGAUUGGCGUAUUAUUCUUUAAAUAGGAAAAAGUAAAAUCACAAAAAUAUUGACUUCCGAGGAAAAUUAAAAAAGGAAAGUCCCUAAUCAAAUGGAAAAAUUAAAAGCUCAAACACAUCACACGGAUGGAUAAUAACUGUCAUAUUCAUGACUUGGUACAGGCAUUUUCUUAUGUGGUAAAUGUAUCAAAUAAACCUUCAAUAAUGCCGUAUUGAUAAAGGGUUCAUAUACCAAAAUCAAUAAAUUUUGUCCAGAAUAGAAAAGUGUUACACGAACUGGGGUGAAGUUUAUAUAAUAUUAAGCAAAGGAAAAUCUUCGUCGAAGUUCCUGCAAUAACUCUUUUAUUGGGUGGUUAAAGUUUUUGAAUUACAACACGGUAUUUAUCAGCUGAUUACGUCACCUAACUACAUGUAUAUUGCACAAACAAAUAAAUAUCAAGUUUCACAGAACUAAUUUGCUCAAAUAAACAGGUUACAAUGUAACUAUAUAAAUUCCAGUUUCUUUUUUAUAUAUUUAAUUGUUCUCCACAAUUCGCUUAAAUUACCUUUUAUAAAAUAAUAUAGGUUUCAGGCAUUUUCAAGAUUUUUUGACAGCUACGAGAAAGCGUAAAUAAUUAAAAUUGCUGAUCAGAAUAAACUUUAAAAGAGGGACGAAAGAUACCAGAGGGACAGUCAAACUCAUAAAUCGAAAAUAAACUGACGACGCCAUGGCUAAAAAUAAAAAAGACAAACUUAUCGUAAUACUAAAAAAUGUCAAGAACUAUACCUAUAUGUUGUAAAGUAAUUUGCUAUAUUUACUGCAUGGUUUCCUAAAUAAAUAUAUUUCACAAC